rnacentral:lncRNA from 1 species
AUGAGCCUGGAUUUUUGUUGUACUUGCCUUUCUCUUCUUUUCCGAGGCUUCUUGGAGAUUUGUCAGGUAGCUGUUUCCAUCGCAGUAGACUUUCUUCUCCUAAAUUAUGAUCUUGUUCUAUUCUAGAAACAAGUUCAUUUGAGACUUGAGUUUUCUUUUGAAUCAAUUGUAAUACUUUAGAGUUUUGUACAGGUGAUAACCAGGUUUUGGGGUAUAAUGUAAGUUGAUAGUAAAUUUUCUGCAUUUUAUUGUAAUAAGUUGAGUUUUAGCCUUACUUGUCUUGGUGGGAUAAGACAAAUGUCAUCACGUCCAUUUUUGGGUCGUGACAAAAUGGUAUCAGAGCCCCAGGUUCAUAGGUCUCAUGUGUGUACAAGUUGAGUCUAAAUAGAUUCUCGAGAAUCGUUACGGAGACGUUUGUACUUAUCUUCGAGAGGCUAUAAUGACUUUUAGGAAAAUUCUUCACUUUUUGAAUCUCUAUCGUGCAUUUUUUAUAUGUUCUGAGUUGUAUUACUUCAUUCCACUCUCUCUAUAUAUUUUGUGUGACUCGUGCAUACUUCCUCAACUGAGUAGUUGAUGUCAUGUAUGAUUGGGAUGUUAGAUCUGGUACUAAGUUGAGGUGAUAUACUUAUGAAAAAUAUGUGUGAUUAAAUUUAGAAUGUUUAAAAAUUUAAAAGGGUUACCCUAGUAAAGUAAAUGGUACUUGUGUGUUAUAUAAGAUACAUAAAUGGUUUGAAUUUUCUUGAAUAUGGAAUGAUUAAUGGGGUGGCUAGAUAAUAAACAAUGUAAUUUAGAAAGUUAAGUUGGUAUAGGUGUCAUAACAUAUAUGGGUUUCUUAGAAAAUGAUGAAAAUAAUGAUGCAACAAUUAAGGUUAGAGCUACAACGAUUUUAUGCAUUGUGUAUAUUAAAGAUGGUCAUGGUAUUGAUAGGUACUUGUUUAGAAUUAUGGAGUGUGUUACUUUUAUUAUCGACCUGACCUAUGAAAUAAUACAUAUAGCUUGGGCUAGAUAUGAAACGAAUUUGGUAAUAUUUAACAUCAAUUGAUGGGAAGAAAUGUGUGACCUGUUGGAUAUGAUCUUCUCGGUAGGGUAUGGUGUGUUCUAGUGGUGGAUGUAACAAACUUUCACAAUGUGGUACUAGUGAUAUAUGAAAACGAAUAUAUUGAUUGUAGGUGCAAAUAUUAACUACUUAAGGAGUUAUCUAUGGUAUACAUGCUAAUAUGAUAAGAAUUUGUGUUGAACUCAUAUUUGAGAAAGCAACUAGCUUGUUGGUACGGGUGGAUGUGUUAAACAUUAUUUAUAAGGCAGCUUCUAGUAAUGGAUCUUUGGUAUGAUAUUGAUAUGUUCAGAUUGUCAAAUGUAUUUUAUGAAUUUUUAAACGAGUGGUGAUUUCAUCGUAAUGUCCAAGAAAUUGGAUCAAUAUUGAAUGACAAGCAUAUGGGUAAAGGAAGUCCUGAAGAGUAUAUUUAUGUGAAGACAAUUAAGAGUUUUAGUAAGGAAGUGCGGAUAAAAGUGAGUUAUUUCUUUGGAUUGGAUUGGUAUAACUGGGUUUAAGGAUUCAUAUUGAUGAAAUAGUUUACUUCGUGGUGAUAACAAGAGCUAACUAAGAACGAUGGUAAUAGGAGUUUGUGAUGGAUUGCAACUAAGACUAAAUCAUAUAAUAAGAAUUGAGGGUUAAACGAGUUUUUAUGGUAAUAAUUACUUGCGAGCAUCUAAGGUUGUGGUUUUCCACUAUUUGAUGAACUAUGUGGUUGUAUGAAAAGUUGUAUAAUGUGUUGAAAAUUCCGCUUGAAUAGAAUUGAAAGAAGCUAGAAUCAUAAAUGAAAAAGAAUUAGUGGGAUGUAUUUUAGUCAUUGGAAAGAGUUAAUCGAGCAAAGGGAUAUUUACUAUAAAUAUAAAGGACAAAGAUAUAUCUUUAGAGAGUUGAGAAUUUAGUUCAAGGAUACGUGAAUUCAUAAAAAAUUUCAAGUUAUAUGCUAAUAUUGAUAGAUAAAGUAAUUGUAUUACAUAGUUAAAUUAAAAAAUUAAGUUUUUCAUUGUGAGUUUAAGUUUAUAUAAGUGUGUUUUGUCAAGUAUGAAUUGGUAAGGUAAGAAAUAAUUUGUAUCGGGUAUUAAGCAUUUGGAAGGACUUGUGCAUGAUUUAAGUUGUAAAAUGAUUCCUUUUUUUAUUGUAAAGAAUCUAAGGGAGGGUUUCACAUAAGGUUUUUGUUUAGAGUAUAAGGUUAAAUUUUAUGGAUUAUUGAUCAAUUAUUAAGUGAGUCAGCGAAAGAAAUAAAAUUUUGGUGUAUUAAAGAGUUUAAGAUAUUUAAAAAUCAUUAUGGAAAGAGUUUAAGAGAUGUAAAGGAAUAAGACCUCGUAUUAGAUUUUUUGUUUGAAAUGAGGGUUGUAUGAAUUUUCAUAUAUAAUUUCUAUGACUAUGAAUGUGAAUUUGUUUAAUAUUGACUUAUUAAGGUUCUAUCGAUGAUUUUUAUAAAGAUGGAGUUUUAGUUUGGAUGAAAAUUAAUGAUGUGUGAAAGAUUUAAUGUGAAUAUGUCGAGCUAGAUUAUUCAAAAUAUGACAGGCAACUUAUGAAUGUUUAACGGUGUGGACCUUUCAUUCUACAUGGUAAUGAGAAAUUUGAGGGAGUUGAAACUACAUUGUUGAUGGGACUAUACAUACUAUUAUGAGUUGUUACAUAGAUAUUUAAUGGUAAAUAGAGGUUAUGUGCUCAUAGUAUAUAAAAUUAAUGAGGUGACCAAGAAUUUCUCUAAAUUAUUACAUAAGGUACAUGAUGGUUCUAAUCGUAGUUGAAUCUUGAUUGGUAAAAGAUUUUGUGCAAUUGAUAUUUGGUUUAAUUCAAUAGUUUGAUCUCAAUAAAUAGUACACUCAGAUUUGCGUGAGAACUGCAUCUGUCAUGAAAUGACUACAUGAACAGAGAAGGAGUUAUAUUUUGAAAUUUUUAGAGACGAUAAUGUGCUUUGUAAGAAGACUUUGAUAUUAAUAGCAGGUUAAGAGUGAAGAAAUGAUCAGUAUGGUUAGAUUUUUUUGUUAGUAUUAAGAAUUGUCUGUUUUUGUUACCGUACUAUAUAGUGUAUAGAGUUUGAUAAAUUAAAUAUGUAUGAAAAUUGUAAUGGAGAUCAGACUGGUUGAUUUUGGGUGGUUAAAAAAAAUUAAGGGAUAGAGUAAGAUGAAUGGAAUUUUAUUUAUAUAGGAGCAAUGGAAGGAGUUUCUUGUGUUAUUUGACCUUGCUUCUGUAUAUUUUUAUGUGACCAACUACUUCAUUAUGGACAUGGUUUAGAGUAUGAUUCACUUUCUACAUUCGUGUUUUUUUCUUCUUCUAUGGGUGAGUUCCUAGUGGUGGAUCGGGUGCACCGAUACUGUGGUUUCACUCCUAAUGGCAUACUUGAUUAAACUGGUUCAUUUCAGUUAUGGGAGAUUUGGUAUUUUUUGGGAUAACAAUAUACUAGUGAAUCUACAUGCACGACCUUGCUUAUGAGGAUUUAUAGAAAAGCAUCCGUGAAUAGUUAUGGUUAUCUAACCAUGUUGUUAAGGGUUUUGCAUCCUAGAGUGUAUCGCUUGUUGGGUGUUUCUUAAUCAUUUCAUUCUUUGGACUAGUUGAGUUCAAUUCUCAUUGAUGAGUACCCGAUGUCUAAAGAUCAGAUUCUUAUUACUUGAGCUCGUGAAAAGAUUGAGUUGUGAAAAAAAAAGAAAUCUUGAAAAGAUCUGUGAUGGUUUGUGCAUUAUGAGUGUGUGGUGGUUGGUUAAAGUUUACUUCUGAUUGUAGCCGGUAUUGAUUAAGAAUGUUAUCUUUGUUAUGUGAGACAAGAUUCGUCAUGAUGGUUGUGUUAUGGUCCAAUAAGUAUCAGUUUAGAUUGGGUUCAUGCAUUAGUUUAUGCCUUGAUAAUCCUCCUGAUUUAUAGAUCCUCCAAAGUUUGAUUUGAAAGUUUAGUUCUUAGAAAUUUAUCUUGAUAGAGUGAUCUUAAGGAGGAGCUCACUUGGGGAAAUGAACACCUACUAGUAGGUCAUAACUCAAGUUUUGGUUACGUCGGUUAAUCUUCUUACUUCUUACUUAUAUUCGGGGACGAACAUGAGUCUUAGUGGUGAAUAAUGUAAUGACCCGGAAAGUCAUUUUAGGAAAAUUUUAUAAAAAAAUAUUUUUUUACCCCUCUCGAUAGUUGCCCCGGGUUAUUAAUGACCAGUCGGUGAAGUUGAUUUAAAAAUUUUGAACUAUUAUAUAACUACAGUUACUCAGUUUACAUGUAUUUAUUAAAUAAUUUGUUUUAAUUUAAUUGUGGUUAAUGAAUCAAGUUUAUAGUUUAUUUUAGAUAAUAUAUUAAAAAUAAGUUACUAGGGUUUUCACUUUUAAAACAUAAUUAUUAUAGAAAAAGAAAAAGGGAUACAGAAAGCGUAUCUACAUUGCAUCGAGUGAAGAGGAAUCACAUAGUGAAUUAGGUAAAUCAUACCUCAACCUAUAAAUUUGAAUGUAUAACUAUACGUAUAUUUACCUAUUAUUAUAAUAAUUAUUCUUGGAAAAGAGAGGAAAUAAUUUGAAUGUUUUUAAAUUUAAAUAUGUAAAUUUUCGUUGUAGCUGUGUGAUUUGAAAAAAAGAAGAAGAAGAACAGGGGACAUUGUUGUUCAAUGAUUAAAUAAUGGCUGCAUAAUUAUUAAGGAUGAUUAUUAGCAAAUAACUGAUAUUGUUUGGGAGUAUAUGACGAAUGCCUAUUUUAACUUUUUCGAGUUCGUGUGGUAUUUCGUAAUUUUAUAUUCUUUUCUCCUUUCUUUUGUUAUCGUUACUUAUAAAACAAUAAUCAAGUUAUAAUUCAAGUCUUGACCAAUUGAUAUAGGUAAUUAAAUAUUAAGUGUAUUAUACUAUAUCAAAUAAAUAGAUUCCUGAUAUUUGAGAUAUUUGAACUUAUCCCUAGACUUUAAAUUUAAAAAAAUGUGAGAAUUGACAUGUUAAUCGUUAUCAAGAUUAGGAGAUUUAUUAUACAUUUGAUUAAGUUUUGGGUGUAAGAUAGACAUAUAGGUGUUGUUAGUUUCAAAAUCUUAUUAUGAUUACUCAUUUGAAUAGAUUGCUUCGAGUUGAAAGUUCAACGAAAGGGGAAGGAUCAAGCACCGAAGUGAUUGUUCUACUAUUUGAGGCAAGUGAAUUUCUAAACUCUUGUUAAGUGUAUGGAAUGCGUAUAUUUCCUUGUGCUAUAUGUUUGGGAGUAAUGGGACUUGGUGAUUGGUUGACUUGUUCACAUUGAUUAAUUCUAAUGAUGAAAACAAAAGGGUAAUAAAAGGCAAUGUGAAAAAUGAGUUGUGUGUGAUGUGUUGAUAAUGGAAAAUGGUUUGAAAAUCUUGUUGAAUCAUUGUUGAUGUUGUUGUGAAUUGUGCAAUGUUAUUAAAAUAGUGAUAUCUUCUUUAUUUUUGUAUGAACAUGUCAUUUGCUUUUUUUUGAGACAUGAUUGUGAAAAGCGUUAUGUGCAUUGAGAAAGAAUGAGAACUUAAAGAGGAUGUACCAUUUCAAGGGACGUAUCGCGUGCCGCGAUGGAUACUAUAUUUCGAGGGACGUAUCGCGCGCCGUGAUGGUUCCUAUAUCAAGGGUCUUGUCAUGAACCGCGACAGAUGCAUGAACAGAUAUGUCCCCCAUGGGUCCCGGACUGAGAGACAGCGGGUGUGUAUCACUAGGUCAGACAUGCAUCAUUAUACUUGACACUGCAUACCAUUGCAUUACACAUACUUAUCAUUGGUGAACUUGAUAUUGUGUUUUGUUGAUCUUGUGAAUGACUUUCUACGAAAUUCGUGAUUGAUGAAUACUAAGCUUGUUAUUGAGGAUAUGUAAUUUGUUGAAUUGUUGUUGUUGAGGGUAUAUAAUUUGUUGAAGUGUUGUUAUCGAGGAUAUGUAAUUUGUUGAAGUGUUGUUGUUGAGGAUAUGUAAUUUGGUAAAGUGUGAUUGUGGAGGAUGUAUAUGUAAUUUGUCUGAGUGUUGUUAUAGAGUUACGUGCUAUGUAAAUAUGAACUGUUAAGUUAGACUGAAUUUUAUGCAGGUUAUAAUUGUGGGGGUUCGGUUGGGGUGGUAGGAGUACCCGUAUUUCAUCCCCUUAGCUUGUGUUUAGACG